rnacentral:rRNA from 1 species
GCCUACGGGGGGCAGCAGUAGGGAAUAUUGCUCAAUGGGGGAAACCCUGAAGCAGCGACGCCGCGUGGAGGAUGAAGGUUUUCGGAUUGUAAACUCCUUUUGUUAGAGAAGAUAAUGACGGUAUCUAACGAAUAAGCACCGGCUAACUCCGUGCCAGCAGCCGCGGUAAUACGGAGGGUGCAAGCGUUACUCGGAAUCACUGGGCGUAAAGAGCGCGUAGGCGGGAUAGCAAGUCAGAUGUGAAAUCCUAUGGCUUAACCAUAGAACUGCAUUUGAAACUGUUAUUCUAGAGUAUGGGAGAGGUA